GACCGCGUAGCUCAGUUGGCAGAGCAUUGGGCUAGUAUUCCAAAGGUCGUAGGUUCGAUUCCCACCGCGGUCA